CACUUCCCUUUCAGUUUGCCAAUGUGACUUAGGUCUUCAUUCAAGUGAGACAAAGGAAAUGUCCUUUAAAAGUUCAUAUACAAACUGGAUGUUUCUCUUGUAACCUGUUAGAGGACACAAUA
rfam:Dipodomys ordii contig_389, whole genome shotgun sequence.